UCCGUAGGUGAACCUGCGGAAGGAUCAUUACCGA
rnacentral:rRNA from 1 species